rnacentral:lncRNA from 1 species
AUAGACUUGAUACCUCAUUGAAAACUACGUAUGUGUAAAAUAUAAAUGACAUUUUUUUACAAUGAGUCAAAAAAAUGUAUCUUGUAAAUAAGCUUAUAAAAAACAAAGAAAAUAAUGGCAACUUUCCGAUCUCCGAUAAUGAUGCCCCCAACUACAACAACGAUGUUGAAGAGGUGAUCUUUUAAUUUGUUGCUUGCUUUAUGUAAGAAUUCAUUUUUUUUUUUUGUUAUUGUUAACUUCAUAAUUGAUUUUAUCCAAUUACAGAUUAAAAAACCAAUAAUGUCAAAUUAAGAAUUCCUUAUACGUAGUUGAAUUGAAUUGAAGAAAUUCAAGUGGAAUCAGUUGAAUCACUUCGAAUUUCAAAAUUUUCAACUGUUUGUUGACGUAUUCAAAAUCUCUAUUAUGUGAAUCUUCAAUUAAUCAUUUUAUGUUCAACUCUAGCAACUGAAGUUGCAAGUUGAAAUUCAGCUGAUGGUCGUGAGAUUAAUUGAACUUCGUAUCUCAUCUUCUUUCUUUUUAAUUUUUAUAACUUAGUUUGAUAUAAUUGUAGAUAUGCAAAGCCUUCAGAGAGCUUUGUGAGGGAUUUAGUUGCAGUUGAAUUUUUUAUCGUUGAUUCCACUCAACGAUAAAAAAUUCUGGACUUAGUUGAACGAAUUGCUGUAAUUCCUUUGCUUUAUAUUAGGACUAAAUUUCAUUUUGUAUUUAUAAGACUUUCAUAGAAUUUUAUUUCAGUGACUAUAGCGAUCAUAUUAAGUUUCCUCGAUGAGCAAUAAAUGAAAAAUUCAUAGAAAGUUACAAUCCUCACCGCGUAAUAGUGCACCUACCCGUCUUCAUCGACGUUGUUUUUUGACCGGAAGGUCGAGAGCUAACUAUCGAGACUUUGGACUAUCCGGACAAAUAUCAACAAAACCACCAUCCUGAGGGCUAAUUAGGGUCUAGUUGCCUGUAAAUGUUAUUUUCAUUUUCUAGAUCAUUUCCUUCAAUUAGAAUCGCAUAUUAAUUUGCAGAUUAUGAAAGAUAGUCCUCGAGGUUAGUUUCAUUUGAUACUGAAUAUUGACUGAUGCUUACGUGUAGAGAUGUUACAGUGAUUUAAAGAUUUUACGGGCAAUGCAGGGGGGAAAAUGAUGUUUACCGCAUGAAACAGAGCAGAGCAGGAAGGUUAUGGAAGAAAUAUUAUGGAGAAUCUGCAAACUAAACCUUGUUGCACUCUGAGGCUUGGGAUUUUGCUCCUAUAUGAAUGGAAUGGUUAGAUAGAUUUAAAAAUGUUGAAAAAGAAAUUAUGGAGCUAUAAAAGCUGAAGCAUGUUUUGCUUGUUCCUUGUGGUUUGAACUCUUUCAAAAUAUUGUCAAUGAAGCCAGAAUUAGUAAAGAUCUUUUACCCAAUAAUUUAGUUAAUAUAUAGUUUCAAAAAUAAUAUCAUGAUUAUUUAUAUAUUUAUGUGUACUUUCAUGUUAAUAA